ensembl:lncRNA
AGUAAACAUGGCCAGUAGGAGAAACUUGAAAAUUCUUGUCAACAGGAAAUGUUUCCUUUUUGGUCUGUCAGACCCAGAAGCAGUCAGAAGCAGAGGGAUUCACGUCUGGGACAGACAGGAGAAGAGCUCCUGGGAUUUGCAGAAGAAAGAGGCCUGGGGACAAGUAGAUGUCAUCACUGGGGCCUCAGGAAGACCUUAUCGGGCCUGUAGACUCUUCAUUUGGAGCCUUGGUCUUAGCAGUGUUGAUUUCUGGCCCUUGGCGGAUGGCUACUAUACCUGGGAGUUACUUGCCUCUGUAAGUAACUCCGAAGGCCACUUCGCCUUAGGAUGGCAGGUAAUUAAGUCUAGAGGAGUGAGAGAGCAGAUACGUUCUCAGUUCAUGGGUGAAUGA